rnacentral:lncRNA from 1 species
AUUGUUGGGGUUUAAGUGUGCAGAGUUUAGCUCCCUCAGGCCUGACAGUUUGCAAGAGCUGUGGCUGUGAUUUAGGUCAGCUGAGGCAAACCUCAGUUAGGAGGAGGAAACAUUCUCUUCCCCUUAUCACAAGUCACAAGUUCUGCAUGGUUUGGCCAAGAGGAAGAAGCUUCCUGCAUACUUAUCCUGGGAACAGUACAUUCUAAAAGAAACAAAUGCAUCCUCAGAGGAGUAGAUAAUGUCUACAAAGAACUUUAGGAGGGUACUUAUCAAACAAACAGGAACAAUUUGAAUCUAGCUCUGUGUAUCCGCUGAGGCAUGAUAUUUGGACAAUGUAGGUAAAGUGUUAUUGAAGAAUUGCUUGCUUUGUUAGAAGAAGUAUAUAAAAGGAACUUGCAAAUAAACUUCAGCAUGCAGUUGCAUUUGCUGCCUUGGCUCUGCAUCCCCUGUGUCCUG